ACUCAAAGGAAUUGACGGGGGCCCGCACAAGCGGCGGAGCAUGUGGCUUAAUUCGACGCAACGCGAAGAACCUUACCAAGGCUUGACAUCAUAUUGAUAAGUACAGAAAUGUACCUCCUUCGGGCAGUAUGACAGGUGGUGCAUGGCUGUCGUCAGCUCGUGUCGUGAGAUGUUGGGUUAAGUCCCGCAACGAGCGCAACCCUCGUCCCAUGUUGCCAGCACUUAGGGUGGGCACUCUUGGGAGACUGCCGGUGUAAAACUGGAGGAAGGUGGGGAUGACGUCAAGUCAUCAUGCCCUUUAUGCCUUGGGCCGCACACGUGCUACAAUGGUCGGUACAAAGAGGUGCGAUACCGUGAGGUGGAGCGAAUCUCAUAAAGCCGAUCUAAGUCCGGAUUGAAGGCUGAAACUCGCCUUCAUGAAGUCGGAGUCGCUAGUAAUCGUGGAUCAGAACGCCACGGUGAAUACGUUCCCGGGCCUUGUACACACCGCCCGU
rnacentral:rRNA from 1 species